UGACCCCUUCCGUGCCGCAGUUAACACAAUAAGUAUUCCACCUGGGGAGUACGACCGCAAGGUUGAAACUCAAAGGAAUUGACGGGGGCCCGCACAAGCGGUGGAUUAUGUGGUUUAAUUCGACGCAACGCGAAGAACCUUACCAGGACUUGACAUCCAACUAACGAAGUAGAGAUACAUUAGGUGCCCUUCGGGGAAAGUUGAGACAGGUGGUGCAUGGUUGUCGUCAGCUCGUGUCGUGAGAUGUUGGGUUAAGUCCCGCAACGAGCGCAACCCCUAUUGUUAGUUGCUACGAAAGAGCACUCUAGCGAGACUGCCGUUGACAAAACGGAGGAAGGCGGGGACGACGUCAAAUCAUCAUGCCCCUUAUGUCCUGGGCUACACACGUAAUACAAUGGUGGUUAACAGAGGGAAGCAAAGCCGCGAGGUGGAGCAAAUCCCUAAAAGCCAUCUCAGUUCGGAUUGCAGGCUGCAACUCGCCUGCAUGAAGCUGGAAUCGCUAGUAAUCGCGGAUCAGCAUG
rnacentral:rRNA from 1 species